UGUCCACAGCAGCUGGUACAUUCACUUUGAAAAAAUUACAGAGUGAGCUGUUUAAGCUUGCAUAUGAUAAGCAUGGAAUGAUGGAAGAGGGCCUUGUCUAUGUCUGUCAGUCUCCAUCUAUGGCGAGGCAAUGAUCGAAAUGGGAGCAGUCAGGGCCACUCAUAUUGCAACAUUAGAGGUGAAAUUCUUGGAUCGUUGCAAAAUGAACUAAAGCAAUGGUGUGUGGCAAGUAAGUUUUCCUCAAUCGAGGGUGAAAGUCAGAGGUUCGAAGAUGAUCAGAGACUGUAAACGAUGCUGAUCAGUGAUCUGCUGGCGUUCGCUUCCAAGACCCGGUGGGUAGCUUGUGGAAAACCAGAGUUCGGUUCUGGGGGGAGUAUGGCUGCAAAGCUGAAACUUAAAUAAAUUGAUGGAAGGGUACCACCAGGAGUGGAGCCUGCAGCUUAAUUUGACUCAACACGGGAAAACUCACCCGGUCCGGACACCGGUAGGAUUGACAGAUCGACAACUCUUUCUUGAUUUGGUGGGUGGUGGUGCAUGGCCAUUUUUAGUUGGUGGAGCAAUCCAUCUGGUUGAUUCUGGUAAUGAACGAGACUCCAGCUUGCUAACUAGUGUGCUAAUUUGUGUGUUUAUUCAAUGAUGGGCUCGAUAUUCAUCACAGCACCCAGGUCCAUGUCAGUUUUCUCAUGCACUUCUUAGAGGGACGGAUGGUAGAAAACCACACAAGGCAGAGUGAUAACAGGUCUGUGAUGCUCUUAGAUGUUUGGAGCCAUAUGCACACUACACUGGAAUUA